GAUACGGCCCAGACUCCUACGGGAGGCAGCAGUGGGGAAUAUUGCACAAUGGGCGCAAGCCUGAUGCAGCGACGCCGCGUGCGGGAUGACGGCCUUCGGGUUGUAAACCGCUUUUGACUGGGAGCAAGCCCUUCGGGGUGAGUGUACCUUUCGAAUAAGCACCGGCUAACUACGUGCCAGCAGCCGCGGUAAUACGUAGGGUGCAAGCGUUAUCCGGAAUUAUUGGGCGUAAAGGGCUCGUAGGCGGUUCGUCGCGUCCGGUGUGAAAGUCCAUCGCUUAACGGUGGAUCCGCGCCGGGUACGGGCGGGCUUGAGUGCGGUAGGGGAGACUGGAAUUCCCGGUGUAACGGUGGAAUGUGUAGAUAUCGGGAAGAACACCAAUGGCGAAGGCAGGUCUCUGGGCCGUCACUGACGCUGAGGAGCGAAAGCGUGGGGAGCGAACAGGAUUAGAUACCCUGGUAGUCCACGCCGUAAACGGUGGAUGCUGGAUGUGGGGACCAUUCCACGGUCUCCGUGUCGGAGCCAACGCGUUAAGCAUCCCGCCUGGGGAGUACGGCCGCAAGGCUAAAACUCAAAGAAAUUGACGGGGGCCCGCACAAGCGGCGGAGCAUGCGGAUUAAUUCGAUGCAACGCGAAGAACCUUACCUGGGCUUGACAUGUUCCCGACAGCCCCAGAGAUGGGGCCUCCCUUCGGGGCGGGUUCACAGGUGGUGCAUGGUCGUCGUCAGCUCGUGUCGUGAGAUGUUGGGUUAAGUCCCGCAACGAGCGCAACCC
rnacentral:rRNA from 1 species